rnacentral:rRNA from 1 species
GAAAAGAAACCAACAGGGAUUGCCUCAGUAACGGCGAGUGAAGCGGCAAAAGCUCAAAUUUUAAAGCUGGCACCUCCGGUGUCCGCGUUGUAAUUUUGUGAGGCAUCUCCGGGUGGGGCGCCGGCCUAAGUUCCUUGGAACAGGACGUCAUAGAGGGUGAGAAUCCCGUGCUUGGCUGGCUGUCCCCGUCCAUGUGAGGUGUCUUCGACGAGUCGAGUUGUUUGGGAAUGCAGCUCAAAAUGGGUGGUAAAUUUCAUCUAAAGCUAAAUAUUGGUGGGAGACCGAUAGCGCACAAGUAGAGUGAUCGAAAGAUGAAAAGCACUUUGAAAAUAGAGUUAAAAAGUACGUGAAAUUGUUGAAAGGGAAGCGCUUGAGACCAGACUUCGGUGGGGAGUGAUCAGCCGUCCUUCUGGGCGGUGCACUUGCCCCCCUCCGGGCCAGCAUCGGUUGGGACGGCGGGAUAAAGGUCCCGGGAAUGUGGCUCCUCUCGGGGAGUGUUAUAGCCCGGGUGAAUGCCGCCAGCCCCGACCGAGGACCGCGCCUUCGGGCUAGGAUGCUUGGCAUAAUGGUCUUCA